rnacentral:rRNA from 1 species
AAUAGAUACCCGGGUAGUCCACGCCGUAAACGGUGGGCACUAGGUGUGGGCAACAUUCCACGUUGUCCGUGCCGCAGCUAACGCAUUAAGUGCCCCGCCUGGGGAGUACGGCCGCAAGGCUAAAACUCAAAGGAAUUGACGGGGACCCGCACAAGCAGUGGAGUAUGUGGUUUAAUUCGAAGCAACGCGAAGAACCUUACCAGGUCUUGACAUCCUCCUGACCGGCGCAGAGAUGCGCCUUUCCUUCGGGACAGGAGAGACAGGUGGUGCAUGGUUGUCGUCAGCUCGUGUCGUGAGAUGUUGGGUUAAGUCCCGCAACGAGCGCAACCCUUGAUCUUUGUUGCCAGCACGUAAAGGUGGGCACUCUAAGAUGACUGCCGGUGACAAACCGGAGGAAGGUGGGGAUGGCGUCAAAUCAUCAUGCCCCUUAUGACCUGGGCUACACACGUACUACAAUGGUCGGUACAGAGGGCUGCGAUACCGUAAGGUGGAGCGAAUCCCAAAAAGCCGGUCUCAGUUCGGAUUGGGGU